GCCGCCGCCGCCGCCGCCACUGCCGCUCCUCUCAGGCGCCGUUCUCCCCGUCGUCAUGGUGCUCCCCAACGACAUCGAUCUGCUCAAUCCCCCGGCCGACCUUGAGAAGAGGAGGCACAAGCUUAAGCGCCUCGUGCAGUCUCCGAACUCCUUCUUCAUGGAUGUUAAGUGUCAAGGAUGCUUCAACAUAACGACUGUGUUCAGCCACUCGCAGACUGUGGUGGUCUGCGGCAACUGCCAGACUGUGCUGUGCCAGCCCACCGGCGGACGUGCAAAGCUCACUGAGGGAUGCUCUUUCAGGCGGAAGAACGAUUGAGGGUGGUGGGUUGUCGCUACACUCUAUUAAUGCUAUUUGAGUCAGGAUAAAACCGUUUGGAGGUUUUAUGUCUUAGGAUGUUGAACUAUUUGGUAUAAGACUGGUAUUUUUGUUGGAUGCACUUUGGGCAUGCUAAGGCUUUAUGGUCUUUGGGUAGCUUCUGGUUUGGUUUAGUUUGCUUGGUUAAAGUUUUGUUGCUGGUACUAUGU
rnacentral:misc_RNA from 1 species